GACGAACGCUGGCGGCGUGCUUAACACAUGCAAGUCGAACGGAAAGGCCUCUUUCGGGGGGUACUCGAGUGGCGAACGGGUGAGUAACACGUGAGUAACCUGCCCUUGACUUUGGGAUAACUUCAGGAAACUGGGGCUAAUACCGGAUAGGAGCUCCUGCUGCAUGGUGGGGGUUGGAAAGUUUCGGCGGUUGGGGAUGGACUCGCGGCUUAUCAGCUUGUUGGUGGGGUAGUGGCUUACCAAGGCCUUGACGGGUAGCCGGCCUGAGAGGGUGACCGGCCACAUUGGGACUGAGAUACGGCACAGGCUCCUACGGGAGGCAGCAGUGGGGAAGAUUGCACAAUGGGUGGAAGCCUGAUGCAGCAACGCCGUGUGCGGGAUGACGGCCUUCGGGUUGUAAACCGCUUUCGCUCAUGACGAAGCUUUGUGUGACGGUAGUGGGUAAAGAAGCACCGGCUAACUACGUG
rnacentral:rRNA from 1 species